CCUACGUGUGGCAGCAGUGAGGAAUAUUGGUCAAUGGGCGCGAGCCUGAACCAGCCAAGUAGCGUGAAGGAUGACUGCCCUACGGGUUGUAAACUUCUUUUAUAAAGGAAUAAAGUGAGUCACGUGUGCCUUUUUGUCUGUACUUUAUUAAUAAGGAUAGGCUCACUCCGUGCCAGCAGCCGCGGUAAUACGGAGGAUCCGAGCGUUAUCCGGAUUUAUUGGGUUUAAAGGGAGCGUAGAUGGGUUGUUAAGUUAGUUGUGAAAGUUUGCGGAUCAACCGUAAAAUUGCAAUUGAUACUGGCAGUCUUGAGUACAGUUGAGGUAGGCGGAAUUCGUGGUGUAGCGGUGAAAUGCUUAGAUAUCACGAAGAACUCCGAUUGCGAAGGCAGCUUACUAAACUGCCACUGACAUUGAUGCUCGAAAGUGUGGGUAUCAAACAGGAUUAGAUACCCGGGUAGUC
rnacentral:rRNA from 1 species